GGUUCCUUUGUGUAGUGGCUAUCACGUUCGUUUCACCCCGCGAAAGGUCCCGGGUUCGAUCCGGAGGAACCA